GACGAACGCUGGCGGCGUGCUUAACACAUGCAAGUCGAACGGAAAGGCCCUGCUUUUGUGGGGUGCUCGAGUGGCGAACGGGUGAGUAACACGUGAGUAACCUGCCCUUGACUUUGGGAUAACUUCAGGAAACUGGGGCUAAUACCGGAUAGGAGCUCCUGCUGCAUGGUGGGGGUUGGAAAGUUUCGGCGGUUGGGGAUGGACUCGCGGCUUAUCAGCUUGUUGGUGGGGUAGUGGCUUACCAAGGCUUUGACGGGUAGCCGGCCUGAGAGGGUGACCGGCCACAUUGGGCCUGAGAUACGGCCCAGACUCCUACGGGAGGCAGCAGUGGGGAAUAUUGCACAAUGGGCGGAAGCCUGAUGCGGCAACGCCGCGUGCGGGAUGACGGCCUUCGGGUUGUAAACCGCUUUCGCCUGUGACGAAGCGUGAGUGACGGUAAUGGGUAAAGAAGCACCGGCUAACUACGUG
rnacentral:rRNA from 1 species